GAUGAACGCUGGCGGCGUGCUUAACACAUGCAAGUCGAGCGGAGUUAUUUCAAGGAAGUUUUCGGAUGGAAUUGAAAUGACUUGGCGGCGGACGGGUGAGUAACGCGUGGGUAACUUGCCUCAUACAGGGGGAUAACAGUUGGAAACGACUGCUAAUACCGCAUAAGCGCACAGUGCUGCAUAGCACAGUGUGAAAAACUCCGGUGGUAUGAGAUGGACCCGCGUCUAAUUAGGUAGUUGGUGGGGUAACGGCCCACCAAGCCGACGAUCAAUAGCCGACCUGAGAGGGUGACCGGCCACAUUGGGACUGAGACACGGCCCAAACUCCUACGGGAGGCAGCAGUGGGGAAUAUUGGACAAUGGGGGAAGCCCUGAUCCAGCGACGCCGCGUGAGUGAAGAAGUAUUUCGGUAUGUAAAGCUCUAUCAGCAGGGAAGAAAAUGACGGUACCUGACUAAGAAGCCCCGGCUAACUACGUGCCAGCCGCCGCAGUAA
rnacentral:rRNA from 1 species